UGCCAGCACCCGCGGUAAUACGGAGGGGGCUAGCGUUGUUCGGAAUUACUGGGCGUAAAGCGCACGUAGGCGGACUAUUAAGUUAGAGGUGAAAUCCCGGGGCUCAACCCCGGAACUGCCUUUAAUACCGGUAGUCUUGAGUUCGCGAGAGGUGAGUGGAAUUCCGAGUGUAGAGGUGAAAUUCGUAGAUAUUCGGAGGAACACCAGUGGCGAAGGCGGCUCACUGGCUCGAUACUGACGCUGAGGUACGAAAGUGUGGGGAGCAAACAGGAUUAGAUA
rnacentral:rRNA from 1 species